rnacentral:rRNA from 2 species
UUUCGCAAUGCCCGAAAGGGUGACGAAGCGACGCCGCGUGGGUGAGGAAGGCCUUCGGGUUGUAAAGCCCUGUCAGGAGUUAAGAAAUGUAAGUGCGCUAAUAUCGCAUUUAUUUGACGAAGGCUCCAAAGGAAGUCACGGCUAACUCUGUGCCAGCAGCCGCGGUAAUACAGAGGUGGCAAGCGUUGUUCGGAAUUAUUGGGCGUAAAGAGCACGUAGGUGGGUUUGUAAGUCAGAUGUGAAAGCCUUCUGUUCAACGGAAGAAUUGCAUCUGAAACUGCGAGUCUUGAGUGUAGGAGGGGAGAAUGGAACUUCUGGUGGAGCGGUGAAAUGCGUAGAUAUCAGAAGGAACGCCGGCGGCGAAAGCGAUUCUCUGGCCUAUUACUGACACUCAGUGUGCGAAAGCUAGGGGAGCAAACGGGAUUAGAUACCCCGGUAGUCCUAGCCGUAAACGAUGGGCACUAAGUAGAGGGGUUUUA